rnacentral:rRNA from 1 species
AAUGAACGUUGGCGGCGUGGAUUAGGCAUGCAAGUCGUGCGAGAAGUGUUUUUUGCUUGCAUUGAACACGGACAGCGGCGAAAGGGAGAGUAACGUGUGGUUACAUGCCCAGGGGUCCAGGAUAGCGUUGGGAAACUGGCGGUAAUACUGGAUGAUAUCUUUGGAUCAAAGGUGAGAUUCCGCCCUUGGAUUGGACCGCAUACUAUUAGCUUGUUGGUGAGGUAAUGGCUCACCAAGGCUGCGAUGGUUACCGGGUGUGAGAGCAUGGCCCGGCUCACUGGGACUGAGACACUGCCCAGACACCUACGGGUGGCUGCAGUCGAGAAUCUUCGGCAAUGGACGAAAGUCUGACCGAGCGACGCCGCGUGCGGGAUGAAGGCCCUCGGGUUGUAAACCGCUGUCAGUUGGAAGGAAAGCUUUGUGAAGAGCAAAGCUUGACCGAUCUUCAGAGGAAGGACGGGCUAAGUUCG